rnacentral:rRNA from 1 species
GACGAACGCUGGCGGCGUGCUUAACACAUGCAAGUCGAACGGAAAGGCCCCUUUGGGGGUACUCGAGUGGCGAACGGGUGAGUAACACGUGAGUAACCUGCCCUUGACUUCGGGAUAACUUCAGGAAACUGGGGCUAAUACCGGAUAGGAAUCCUUGCUGCAUGGUGGGGGUUGGAAAGCUUGGGCGGUUUUGGGUGGACUCGCGGCUUAUCAGCUUGUUGGUGGGGUAGUGGCUUACCAAGGCUUUGACGGGUAGCCGGCCUGAGAGGGCGAGCGGCCACAUUGGGACUGAGAUACGGCCCAGACUCCUACGAGAGGCAGCAGUGGGGAAUAUUGCACAAUGGGCGGAAGCCUGAUGCAGCAACGCCGCGUGCGGGAUGACGGCCUUCGGGUUGUAAACCGCUUUCAGCAGGGGAGAAGCUUGUGGUGACGGUACCUGCAGAAGAAGCACCGGCUAACUACGUG